rnacentral:rRNA from 1 species
GACGAACGCUGGCGGUGUGCCUCACACAUGCAAGUCGAGCGGAUGACGGUGGUAGCUUGCUACCAUCGAAGUUAGCGGCGGACGGGUGAGUAAUGCGUAGGAAUCUACCCUAAGGUAGGGGAUAACGGGCUGAAAGGUCCGCUAAUACCCCAUAUGCGGGUUCUCUUCGGAGGAUUCGUGAAAGGAGCAAUUCGCCUUUGGAUGAGCCUGCGUCUGAUUAGCUAGUUGGAGGGUAAAAGCCUACCAAGGCUACGAUCGGUAGUUGGUCUGAGAGGAUGACCAGCCACAAUGGGACUGAGACACGGCCCAUACUCCUACGGGAGGCAGCAGUGGGGAAUCUUGCGCAAUGGGCGAAAGCCUGACGCAGCGACGCCGCGUGAGGGAUGACGGCCU